rnacentral:lncRNA from 1 species
CGAUUUCUCCAAGAACUAGGGAUCAAGCAAAAGGAUUAUAAAAUACAUUGUAACAGUCAAAGUGCUUUUGACUUGAGUGAGAAUUCAAUGUACCAUUCUCGGACAAAGCACAUCGACAUCCGCUAUCAUUGGAUAAGAGAAGUGAUGGAUCAAUAACUGUUGAAACUAGUGAAGAUUCACACAAAUGAGAAUCCAGCAGAUAUGUUAACAAAGGUGGUUCCAAGAGAAAAGUUAGAGCUAUGCAGAGACAUAGCUAGGAUGGUUGUCAGAUAACAGCUGAUUCAAAUGCGACUAGAGGGCGAGAAUUGUUGUGUCCAGCUGCAUUUUCAUCAUUUCUUCCAGCUAAAGCAAUUGAAAAUAAGCCACAACUUCAAUUGCUUAAUGGAAAAGAAAUACCUAUGUAAGAAGACAAUUUGAAAUGAAAUUUUCCAGCCGCAAUUCUUGAUUAGUUGACAACUAGAACCUUCCUUAAUGCAUGAACAUAGCCACAAUUUUAAUUGCUUCAUGAAGAAGGCAGCACACAAAUUUUGACUGUCCAUUAAGCACCAAAAUGGCAGAAUUCUG